AUUUGAUCUUUGCAAAUCAGAGAUAGUACUGUUAAUAAUUUCCCUGCAGGAAAGAGGAAGUUAAGGAUAUGAGGAAUUGCCGUCAGGAUCAGAGAUCAUCACUACGAAGAGCAAAACAGGCCACUUGCCCACCUUGACAGAGCUGGUAAGUGGCAGAGCCAGGACCAUCCAGACGGCUCAGCUUCCAAGCCAGCAAGCCUCAUCGCCAUGCAGUUUGUCCCCAGGGAGGAAGGAUGCUUCUGGUCCCAGGGUCCAGGAUGCUCUACCCUCCUUCCUCUAGGAUAUCCAGGGGGCCAGCUUUAGUGAGAGGAGAGUGCAUGGUCCAGCCUUCUGGGGGCACCCAGAGUGUCCCCUUCCACUCCCAGCUU
rnacentral:lncRNA from 10 species